ensembl:snRNA U6 U6 spliceosomal RNA
GCUCCCUUCGGCAGCACGUAUAUAAAGCUGAACAAUACAGGGAAGGUUAGCAUGGCCCUUGGGCAAGGAUGGCACCCAAAUUCAUGAAACAUUCCACAUAUUU